rnacentral:rRNA from 1 species
UACGUAGGAUGCAAGCGUUGUCCGGAAUUAUUGGGCGUAAAGGGCGCGCAGGCGGUUUGUCAAGUCAGAUGUGAAAGCCCCCGGCUUAACCGGGGAGGGUCAUUUGAAACUGACAGACUUGAGUGCAGCAGAGGAAGGUAGAAUUCUGGGUGUAGUGGUGAAAUGCGUAGAUAUCCAGAGGAAUACCAGUGGCGAAGGCGGCCUUCUGGGCUGUAACUGACGCUGAGGCGCGAAAGCAUGGGGAGCGAACAGG